CUGGGAGAGGAGGAAGGGGCGGGUGAGGGAAGAAGCUGCGGGCAGAGUGGGAAGGCAAGCCUUGGAGCCAUGUGCAGCAGGCUUGUCUGGGGACCCGUCAUUUCUAUUGGGUUGUCAGGGGAUUCGGGGGAGGUUCUGGUUGGUGCGGCCCUAACCCAGGCCAAAUUCGGGACUUCUGGAGGUGGGGGAUGUUCUGAGGGUGAACUCGGAGGCUGGGGCGGCGCCAUGUGCAAGCUCCUGGAAUUUGCUAUUCCUACCCCCUCACCCCACCCUCUUUUCUGUCUUGCUCCUCCAGCCUGCGCGCGGGCAGCUGCGGCACGGGAAAAGCUCGGAGUCUUUAAAACCUCUGCAUGGGGUGGAAGCGAAGCCGGGUUUGUUGGAGGUGGCGGAGCGAAGGCAGAGGAGAAGGCAUGGAGGGACCUUCAAUCUGGACAAACGAAGCCUAAGACAUCGGCCUAGAGGUAUCUGUUCAGCGCUCUUUCCCCUAGAAAGAUGUGUCUAAGACACGCAGCCCAAAUGCAUGUAUGUAACAGAGACUGACAGAGUCGCAGCUCAGUUUCCUUUCCAAAAGAGGAACGUCUCCUUUAAGGAGGGAGCCCUGGGCUACCCUGAGGGGCGGGACACCCUGUGCAAAUUGAGACAGCUGCAGAAGCGGCUCGCGAGCGAUGCUCUUCUUCACUUUCUGCUCCAGCUCCCGCCGCCGCUGCUACUCUUUCCCCACCUCCUCCUCUUCCUCCUCCUCUUCUUUCUCUUCCUCCUCCUCUUCCUUCUCCUCCUCCUCCUGCAGCUUGCUCCGGAGCUUUUGUUUUCCGGCGCCGAGGAAAGAGCUGCUAUGUCCGGAAAGUUCCCAGAGGGAUCGGCUCAGGCCACGCUGCUUGGGCUCCGCUGGGAUUCCCCGGGCUUUGUCCUUUGUCCGAGAAUUUCCUGACCCUGGAGGAAUCACAGUGAAGCCAGACUCACUAUAAUGGGUUUGCCAGGUUCACCAUAAUGGGUUCACAAGAUGCUUUAAUUUACCUCCCAGGAUUCUAUCAAUUAUACUUGUGCACUGAAAUUUUGGAGUCGAGUUUAUUCUCUAUGAUGGAUUAUAAUAGCUUUUUUGUGAGUGUUUCUCUUUGAAUAUUUUAAACCUUGUUAUGAAAUAUGUAUUCAUAUUUAGCCAUCAUAGGCAAGAUUAAACUUUACUUGCUAAACAUAUGCCUAAAAGAAGAACUGUGGGUAUUAGAUGCAGUCCCCAAUGGUUAUCAUUUUUGUUAGUCACUAUAAAUUAAUUUUAAUAAUAUUGUUUUUGUCUUUUGUUUUCAUAUGCUAAGUCUU
rnacentral:lncRNA from 1 species